CUUAGUGGUUGAGCGUCUGCCUUCGGCUCAGGGCGUGCUCCAGGAGUUCCAGAAUUGAGUCCCACAUCCCUGCAGGAAGCCUGCUUCUCCUUCUGCCUAUGUCUGCCUCUCUCUCAGUGUCUCUCAUGAAUAAAUAAAUAAACUCUUAAAAAAAAACAACAACAAAAACAAAUAUUAAGACAUACUACCUAGGCCAUUGGGACAAAAAAACCCUCAUUUUUAAAUGGUAAUAUUGUUUCAGAUCAUGGUGACACCAGUAAUCAUAGAGGAAAAGGUGAACUGUGUUAGAUGAUGCUGGAGAAACUGACAAAUUGUAUGGAGAAAAAUAAAGUAUAAUCCCUGCCUGAGACAAUAAUCAAAAAUUUCCAUCAUUAAUCUUCAAAUUAAAUACCUAAAUGGGAAAAAUGAUAAUAUUAACAAAAUCGGAGGAAAUAUACAAGAAAAAUCUUUGGUCAAGGGACAGGAAAGAACAUGUUAAGCAUGACUCUAAAAGCACAUAUGUAGAAAACGCUAAAUAAAUCUAUUAAAAUUAAUUGUUCUAUUUCUCUAACAAAGGGUAUGUACAAAGAAUAGAUGGAUGACAAAAAUAGCAUCUCAUCUCAUCUCUAACAUUGGUCUAAGCAACCAAAACACCUAAAUAUCGUACAUAAUGAUUUGUCCAGAGGUAAGCGUCUCUAGAUCGGUACAGAAAUUCAGCAAUGCCACCAAGGCCUCUUUUUUUCCUACAGGUUUCUCAUUUGUUUGGCUUUACAUCUUUGAGUAGUCACCUGGAGGAGCGAAGGUUGUUGCUGGUAUUCUAAGACAUCACAUCAUUAGAUGGCAAAAUUCAGAAAAAAAAAAAAAUAUGAUGGAGUUGCUCAAACAGGGUCUCAUUGCAUGCUUCUCUCUCUUCAGGAUAAUGAAAUAUUUCCUAGAAGAGUUUCUUUUGCAUCUCAUUGAUCCCAAGUUUGUCACAUGGCCUUUGCUUCAAGGUUACAGGAAAGUAUGCCUUCUACCCUGGUGUGUCCUGGGUUCUCAGAUCUCCCCACUUCAAUCCUGGCCUUAUGGAAACUGCCUGUUGCCUGCAAGUGAGUAGAAGCAAAAAAUUGGUGUUUGUCUAGAAUCUUAAAUUAACCUGGUUUUCCUACUUACCCUCCUUAGGUAGUGGAUGAAGUUUUAUAUUCAUGCUCAUGCUGUACCAUGAUUCAACUAGGGGACAUAAGAGUUGCUAAAUCUGCAUUUAUUUGUUAAGAAAAUGUAUUGAAUUUAUUUAAUUUUUUAUUGAGGUAUAAUUGACACGUAACAUUAUAUGUUUCAAGUGUACAACAUGGUUAUUUG
rnacentral:lncRNA from 12 species